CUCCAUCAAUAUUGUGAGGCCUCUGGGCAGAGGAUCAACUUGCUAAAGUCUUCGAUCUUCUUUGGGAAGCACUGCCCUGAUGGUGUCAAGGGAACUGUAAAGGGGUGCCCUGGGGUAGACAAUGAAAUUCUCCACGACUCUUAUCUCGGUAUGCCCACUGAGAUUGGUCAUGCAGCCACCAACUCCUUCGUUUUCUUACCAGGCCGGGUUUGGAAGAGGAUC
rnacentral:rRNA from 1 species